UACGAAGGGGGCUAGCGUUGCUCGGAAUCACUGGGCGUAAAGGGUGCGUAGGCGGGUCUUUAAGUCAGGGGUGAAAUCCUGGAGCUCAACUCCAGAACUGCCUUUGAUACUGAGGAUCUUGAGUUCGGGAGAGGUGAGUGGAACUGCGAGUGUAGAGGUGAAAUUCGUAGAUAUUCGCAAGAACACCAGUGGCGAAGGCGGCUUCCUGGACCGACACUGACGCUGAGGCGCGAAAGCCAGGGGAGCAAACGGG
rnacentral:rRNA from 1 species